CACGAAUGGCUUUGCCUCCCUAACCACUGCCGCCACCUCAGCUUACCUUGCCAGCGCCUGCCGCCAUAGUGACUCUGACUGAAACCUACCCGGUGCACCGCCACGGGAACGCGCACCCUUUUCAAGGGCCCUCCUAUCCCUUCUCCCUUGCCGUAGUCAGAGGAUGUCACGUGAACGACGCCUUGGAAGCCAUGUUGGUCAAGGGCAGAAAAGAGGGCAGGCUAAUUUUUAACGUGCCUUUGGGUGGCAUCUUAGUUAAGGGCUGAAAGCUUCAAACCUCGGGAAAACCUUUGACGACCAUUUUGGUUACGGGCAAGGAAGAAUUUGUUUUUCCCUGAAAAUAGUAACGAGCAAAGAGGACAGACCACUCAAAGAAGAUGUUUAUUGGCAGGCAUCUUAGCUGAGGGCAACACAGUGACCCGUAACCGUCUUAGCUGUGAACAACCAAACUCCGUAAGUCUCAGGAUCCUCAGCUAUGAGUAUCAUCUUUCCUCGGUUAAUUCUUCGCUGUGUUUCCUGCCAGAACUCUUUUUUAUUCCAUUUCGAAUGACUGUCCUUCUCACUGGACCUACUAUGUUGCUCAGGACUCCUACCUCGAUUCAGUCGCGAAGAAGUGAAACUUCAGAGUUUCAGAUCCUGUGGCUUCCAGAGAAGGAUGAAUUCCAAUAUGAAAAAAUAGAGCAUUGCCCCCCACUCGUUAUCGUAAGGUAGAUAAAAGAGUCAUUGGCCUAGAGAAGAAAACACUUGGCAAAAGCAAAAUGAAAACUACCAGAUGAGAAGGAAUCUUAACCAUGUAGAAUCACUGUUGUCAUUCUUCAGAUUCCUGUGACAACAGGAUACACCACUGUAUAACCUUGGGCAAGUUUCUAAACUUUUUCAAACCUCUUUGUCUCUUCUAUAAUAUGA
rnacentral:lncRNA from 1 species